rnacentral:tRNA from 2 species
UCCUCGAUGGCGCAAUCGGCAGCGCGGGUGGCUGUUAACCACUAGGUUCGAGGUUCGAGUCCUCGUCGGGGAGCCA